UACGUAGGGUGCAAGCGUUGUCCGGAAUUAUUGGGCGUAAAGAGCUCGUAGGCGGUUUGUCGCGUCUGCUGUGAAAACCCGAGGCUCAACCUCGGGCCUGCAGUGGGUACGGGCAGACUAGAGUGCGGUAGGGGAGAUUGGAAUUCCUGGUGUAGCGGUGGAAUGCGCAGAUAUCAGGAGGAACACCAAUGGCGAAGGCAGAUCUCUGGGUCGUAACUGACGCUGAGGAGCGAAAGCAUGGGGAGCGAACAGG
rnacentral:rRNA from 1 species